GAGACAUAUUUUUUCAUCCACAUAUAGCGCUUCGCAGAGCAUCAUCUUAAACUAUGCGCCGCAAUGUGUGCGAAUAAAUGGCAAAAGGCAACCUGAGGCUGCCUUUUUCUUU
rnacentral:misc_RNA from 1 species